CAAUAGCGUAUAUUGAAGUUGUUGCAGUUAAAAAGCUCGUAGUUGGAUUUCGGGGUGGCCUGGCUGGUCCGCCGCAAGGUGAGUACUGGUCAGCCGCCCUUCCUCUCGAAAGCCCCGACUGCUCUUUACUGCAGUGGUCGGGUAGUUCGGGACGUUUACUUUGAAAAAAUUAGAGUGUUCAAGGCAGGCUAUCGCCUGAAUACAUUAGCAUGGAAUAAUGGAAGAGGACCUCGGUCCUAUUUUGUUGGUUUCUAGGGCCGAAGUAAUGAUUAAGAGGGACAGUUGGGGGCAUUCGUAUUUAAUUGUCAGAGGUGAAAUUCUUGGAUUUAUGAAAGACGAACUAGUGCGAAAGCAUUUGCCAAGGAUGUUUUCAUUAA
rnacentral:rRNA from 1 species